rnacentral:tRNA from 1 species
UUAAUUGAAGCAUCUAAAUGCAUUUAACUGUUAAUUAAAUUAUUCGCUUUUAAAAGCGGCUUUUAAA